rnacentral:rRNA from 1 species
CGGUAAGGCCCCUUCGGGGGUACACGAGUGGCGAACGGGUGAGUAACACGUGGGUGAUCUGCCCUGCACUCUGGGAUAAGCCUGGGAAACUGGGUCUAAUACCGGAUAUGACCUUGGACUGCAUGGUUCUUGGUGGAAAGGUUUACUGGUGCAGGAUGGGCCCGCGGCCUAUCAGCUUGUUGGUGGGGUAAUGGCCUACCAAGGCGACGACGGGUAGCCGGCCUGAGAGGGCGACCGGCCACACUGGGACUGAGACACGGCCCAGACUCCUACGGGAGGCAGCAGUGGGGAAUAUUGCACAAUGGGCGAAAGCCUGAUGCAGCGACGCCGCGUGAGGGAUGAAGGCCUUCGGGUUGUAAACCUCUUUCAGCAGGGACGAAGCGAGAGUGACGGUACCUGCAGAAGAAGCACCGGCUAACUACGUGCCAGCAGCCGCGGUAAUACGUAGGGUGCGAGCGUUGUCCGGAAUUACUGGGCGUAAAGAGUUCGUAGGCGGUUUGUCACGUCGUUUGUGAAAACUCACAGCUCAACUGUGAGCCUGCAGGCGAUACGGGCAGACUUGAGUACUGCAGGGGAGACUGGAAUUCCUGGUGUAGCGGUGAAAUGCGCAGAUAUCAGGAGGAACACCGGUGGCGAAGGCGGGUCUCUGGGCAGUAACUGACGCUGAGGAACGAAAGCGUGGGUAGCAAACAGGAUUAGAUACCCUGGGUAGUCA